CCUAGUAUACCCUGUAGAUCCGGGUUUUUGUAGAUCAGUUCAGAAGCUCGUUUCUACAGGUAUGUUAGGA
rfam:Trichuris trichiura, WGS project CBXK01000000 data, contig: TTRE_5